GUUUUAUGAUGAGAUCAAUUGGUCCGUGUUUCUGAGGCAGCCUCAAGACCUGCUACUUGAAC
rnacentral:snoRNA from 1 species